rnacentral:lncRNA from 1 species
UAAGGGAGCUACCAUUUGAUUUUUAUGGGGGGGGGGCUAGGAUGAAAAAUUUUGUCCUGCAUUUUUUUUAGCUGUAUUCUCUGUCCUGCCUUUUUAUUUUUCACUCUGUUCGGUCCUGCCUUUUUUUUUUAGUUUAUCCUGACUUUUUUUUACCUAAAUUGUCGUCCUGAGUUUUUUUUGCAAGUGUCUCAUCCUGCCUUUUUUUUUACUCAAAACUCCUGUCCUGCCUAUUUUUUUCAAAUUUCAUCCUAGCCCCCCCCCCCCCCCAUAAAAAUCAAAUGGUAGCUCCCUAAAUCAGACCUUU